GGUUUGAUUAUGGCUCAGAUUGAACGCUGGCGGGAUGCUUUACACAUGCAAGUCAGACAGCACGGACUUCGGUCUGGUGGCGAGUGGCGAACGGGUGAGUAAUGUAUCGGAACGUGCCUAUGGCGGGGGAUAACUACGCGAAAGCGUAGCUAAUACCGCAUACGCCCUUCGGGGAAAGCGGGGGGACCUUCGGGCCUCGCACUAUUAGAGCGGCCGAUAUCGGAUUAGCUAGUUGGUGGGGGUAACGGCUCACCAAGGCGACGAUCCGUAGCUGGUUUGAGGAGGACGACCAGCCACACUGGGACUGGGAGACACGGCCCAGACUCCUGCGGGAGGCAGCAGUGGGGAAUUUUGGACAAUGGAAACCUGAUCCAGCCAAACUCCCGCGUGUGCGAUGAAGGCCUUCGGGUUGUAAGCACUUUUGGCAGAAAGAAACGGCACGGGGAUAAUACCCCGUGCAACUGACGGUACCUGCAGAAUAAGCACCGGCUAACUACGUACAGCAGCCGCGGUAAUACGUAGAGAUUGCAAGCGUUAAUCGAAUUACUGGGCGUAAAGCGUGCGCAGGCGGUUCGGAAAAGAAGAUGUGAAAUCCCAGAGCUUAACUUUGGAACUGCAUUUUUAACUACCGAGCUAGAGUGUGUCAGAGGGAGUGGAAUUCCGCGUGUAGCAGUGAAAUGCGUAGAUAUGCGGAGGAACACCGAUGGCGAAGGCAGCCUCCUGGGAUAACACUGACGCUCAUGCACGAAAGCGUGGAGCAAGCAGGAUUAGAUACCCUGAAGCAGUCCACGCCUAAACGAUGUCAACUAGCUGUUGGGGCCUUCGGGCCUUGGUAGCGCAGCUAACGCGCGAAGUUGACCGCCUGAAGAGUACGGUCGCAAGAUUAAAACUCAAGGAAUUGACGGGGACCCGCACAAGCGGUGGAUGACGUGGAUUAAUUCGAUACAACGCGAAAAACCUUACCUACCCUUGACAUGUCUGGAAUCCCGAAGAGAUUUGGGAGUGCUCGCAAGAGAACCGGAACACAGGUGCUGCAUGGCUGUCGUCAGCUCGUGUCGUGAGAUGUUGGGUUAAGUCCCGCAACGAGCGCAACCCUUGUCAUUAGUUGCUACGAAAGGGCACUCUAAUGAGACUGCCGGUGACAAACCGGAGGAAGGUGGGGAUGACGUCAAGUCCUCAUGGCCCUUAUGGGUAGGGCUUCCACACGUCAUACAAUGGUCGGGACAGAGGGUCGCCAACCCGCGAGGGGAGCCAAUCCCAGAAACCCGAUCGUAGUCCGGAUCGCAGUCUGCAACUCGACUGCGUGAAGUCAGAAUCGCUAGUAAUCGCGGAUCAGCAUGUCGCGGUGAAUACGUUCCCGGGUCUUGUACACACCGCCCGUCACACCAUGGGAGUGGGUUUUACCAGAAGUAGUUAGCCUAACCGUAAGGAGGGCGAUUACCACGGUAGGAUUCAUGACUGGGGUGAAGUCGUAACAAGGUAG
rnacentral:rRNA from 1 species